rnacentral:rRNA from 1 species
AUUGAACGCUGGCGGCAGGCCUAACACAUGCAAGUCGAGCGGGGUUUUCGGACCUAGCGGCGGACGGGGGAGUAAUGCGUAGGAAGCUGCCCGAUAGAGGGGGAUACCAGUUGGAAACGACUGUUAAUACCGCAUAAUGUCUACGGACCAAAGUGUGGGACCUUCGGGCCACAUGCUAUCGGAUGCGCCUACGUGGGAUUAGCUAGUUGGGGAGGUAAUGGCUCACCAAGGCGACGAUCUCUAGCUGGUUUGAGAGGAUGAUCAGCCACACUGGAACUGAGACACGGUCCAGACUCCUACGGGAGGCAGCAGUGGGGAAUAUUGGACAAUGGGCGCAAGCCUGAUCCAGCCAUGCCGCGUGUGUGAAGAAGGCCUUCGGGUUGUAAAGCACUUUCAGCGAGGAGGAAGGGAUGUAUGUUAAUAGCAUGCAUUUUUGACGUUACUCGCAGAAGAAGCACCGGCUAACUCUGUGCCAGCCGCCGCCGUAACAC